rnacentral:tRNA from 1 species
GUAGAGCAGAGGACUGAAAAUCCUCGUGUCACCAGUUCAAAU